GACGAACGCUGGCGGCGUGCUUAACACAUGCAAGUCGAACGGAAAGGCCCUGCUUUUGUGGGGUUCUCGAGUGGCGAACGGGUGAGUAACACGUGAGUAACCUGCCCUUGACUUUGUGAUAACUUCAGGAAACUGGGGCUAAUACCGGAUAGGAUCUCCUGCUGCAUGGUGUGGGUUGGAAAGUUUCGGCGGUUGUGUAUGUACUCGCUGCUUAUCAGCUGGUUUGUGGGGUAGUUGCUUACCAAGGCUUUGACGGGUAGCCUGCCUGAGAGGGUGACCGGCCACAUUGGGACUGAGAUACGGACCAGACUCCUACGGGCGGCAGCAGUGGGGAACAUUACAGAAUGGGCGGGAGCCAGAUGCAGAAACGCCGCGUGCGGGAUGACGGCUUUCGGGUUGUAAACAGAUUUCGACUGUGACGAAGCGUGAGUGACGGUAAUGGGUAAAGAGGCACCGGCUAACUACGUG
rnacentral:rRNA from 1 species